GGUGAACGCUGGCGGCGUGCCUAAUACAUGCAAGUCGAACGUGAAGCGACCCUUCGGGGUCGUGGAAAGUGGCGUCCGGGUGAGUAACACGUAACCGACCUACCCUUUGCUGGGGGAUAACUUCGGGAAACCGAAGCUAAUACCGCGUAAGUUCGUUGGCUUUAGAAACUGACGAAGAAAGCUCCGGCGGCGAAGGAGGGGGUUGCGUACCAUCAGCUAGUUGGUGCGGUAAUGGCGCACCAAGGCAACGACGGUUAGGGGACCUGAGAGGGUGACCCCCCACACUGGUACUGACACACGGACCAG
rnacentral:rRNA from 1 species